ACGACCUUGCUUGAACAAGAUUUGUACUAUAGACUCGUACUAUUGUGUCCUUCAUUUCUAAGGAGACAAGAACAAUAUAAGUCUGGUGAAUGACACAUGACUGUGUGAUCAAAGCAUGAUUAACGAUUAGAAUAUCUUGUGCUCAUCAUCCUCAGGUGUGAAGGAUCAUUCUCAGCCAGUAAUACUGGUUGGGGUGGCCGCACGAUUGUCUGACAUACU
rnacentral:snoRNA from 1 species